rnacentral:lncRNA from 1 species
GCAGUAUUUGGUUCUGGUGCAGAAGUGAACCUAGACUGGCAGGUUCUUUUUCGUGUCCAUCUAAUGAAACCAUUUUCCCCAUAUUCUUUAUAAGUCUAUCUUAAAGUUUUUUAUAAUCUCUUCUAAACCAUCUUGUGGGACUCGGGUGUAUUGUUGGCAAGAUAAAUAUUGUCUAAGAACCGUAGUACUUCAACUGUGUGCACACUGGAUACGAGUGGAACAGAUAUAAUCAUACUCACUUAUGACCAUGACAACCCGCCUCCAAAGUUUGUGCAAGGAUAUAAAUUUAACAUCUUUUACCCAGACCUUGUUGACAAGAUACAAACUCCGAGAUACGAUGUUGUCCCGGACAGAAUCAAUGGAGAGAAAUGCAUCAUUAAGUUUCAUGCUGGCCUCCCUAUGAGGACGUAGUACGUUGACUUGAUCCGGAAGAGUACUUUGGUAUGUAUUUUGUAUCGGGUUUAAUUACUCUCACGCUUGUCUUUCAAAUGACAGGCAUUCUGAAUUGUUAACGGGUAAUGGGAGCGUUCUCAUAAGGAUACAAGACCACAUUUGAACGUGGGAUAUUUCAUUUAUACUUUAAACGCCACCGGUACAGCAGGUGUGCUUGCCUGGUCUUAUUGCUGAUUUUGGGGAAACGUUUAAUAAUUAUCACCAGCAAGGCAGCAACACAGCAGCAUUCGAAGUAAUUUUUUUCAGUUCUGUCUCUACAUAGUCUACUUGCGUUGCGGCAUUAAGGGGGAAAAAAAAUUGGAAGAUGAAGAGAGAGAAAAAGAAAAAAAAGGACGUGUUUAAGAAAAAUCCAAAAGAAACUCCUUUUGAUGCAAAGAUGACAUUUGACUGGUACAGAUUUUGUGUCACCUGAUCUGAACAUUCUUGAUUUUUGACAAAUUUUGUGUCACUUGUGUUUUAAUAUUAGUGGAUGAUUAAGAUUUAAUUUUUUUUUAAUUUAUUAACCACUAAUUAUAUUAAUAGAAUUUAUUCAAAUGAAGAUUUUUUUAUAGAAUGACUUUUCGACGACAUGAGAAGUACUGGGCUGCAUAUUCCUAAGUUGCUUGUUGGCAACUUCCGGGCUGGAUAUUAGGCAAAUUCAGCAAAUCUAGCCCAAUAGCUCAUGUUGGAUAAUAUAUUAUGCAAAGGUACAGUGACAGUGGAAACUAGAAACUUUCAGAAAAGAUGCGGAUUAACUACAUUUUUGAAAAUUUUAUCACUUAUAGUUAAAAGAAAUACCUUAUUAGCUUAAAAGCAGUCCCCAAAGAUUGGAUGAUUUAUUGGGCAUCUCAAGGAGUGAGCAUCCAGCAUCUGAAUACGAUGGCCAUGUUUGCUUCCAUUGAACUUUUACGAGAUCAGGCCGCACAUAGAACUCAAAUGAUUUCAUGUAUUGUUUGCUUCUAUAGAACUUUGAAUUUGGAAUAAUCGAGGUACUUCUAUAGUAGAUAAUGUUUCACAGGAUAACAUAAUUUCAGCUACAUUUCAUUGAUUAGGAUAUUCAAAAUUGUUAAAUUGAGUGUGGCAACAUUGAAAUUGGCAAAAUUUUGCAUCUAAAAAGAAUAUUACAACAAACAUUCUCGGAUAGAAAAGCAUUACUAAUCUGAUGAAAGAUUGGAAAUUUACAAAUAUGUGAUAUCAGAUUUAAGUAUUAAACAAAUUACAAAGAAAGAUACAUUUGCAUGUAACCUACGUGAUUACUUGAAGCUCUCUAUCAACAUAAGAAACAUGCACUUCUGAGCCGUGUGGUGGUGUCCCUGUCUUCAAGGCCUCUCAAGUAUGAUCUAAUCGCAAGGUGCUCAGAAGCGUACGUCAUGAAAGCAGCCAAAACAAUACCUCCCGCAACCAUCAAUCCUAGCCUGUUCAAUUACACACACACUCAGUUUCAUGACCAAAACAAUAACACAACAUACUCAAAAAAUUGACAGGGUUCUAGAUGUGCCUUCAAACAGAGCAUGAGCGGGGAGAGGAGUUAUUGGAAAAAAGACAACAAACCAUUUUAUGAUAUGAUCUACUUUCAUGCAACUAUGUGAAAACAAAUAAUCUCUUCCAAUACGAAUUGUUAAUUAUCUUACAGCUAAUUAAAAAGCAAAUUGGAGGAAUAAAUUACAUGACAUGCAGUCAACUGUGGAACUAAGGUAUAUGUCUCGCUCUAUUUUAAAUUUACACAUCUUAGAAUAACAAAUGGCAUUCACGUAAUUUUUUGCAAAACACCCUGAAAUGUACAGCUCGUUAGGAUGAAGAAAUUUUGCACAACUGCCGAAGCAUACAAAAGCAUAUCAUUGUUAUUGAACGGAAGCAACAGAUAUUGGUUCAACUAUGAUAGGGUAAGAAAGAAAGCUAUGAAGAAACAGAGAUAACAUCACAUUACAAUCAUCAAAGCAAAAUUACCUCAAAAACAGAGCCGUGACCCCAAACAUAGCUGGCAGCGAUGGGGCAAUGACAGCCAAAAGUGCCAUCCCCAUUCCAUAAUACCAUGUAACAAAAUCACAAGCUGAAGCCUGUCGCUGAUGACCUGAAAGAAAUACAAGAACUAUCAGCAUAUUUUAAUUAUAACCUAAAAUCAAGCAUACUAAACAUCUCAUGCAUGGAAAGCACGUUAAGCACAAUAAACUGAUAUAAAUCAAUUCAACUCACCUUUUCCAGAGUCAUAAUCUGAAGAUUCCACAUCAGAAGAGAAGGAUCCUGCUUGAAAUGCUGUUGCCUUUCCCCAUUUAUAAAUCAAAUGGAGGAAACCUCCAAAUAAAAGAAAGAACAUCGUGAAAGUCCACUCAUACACCAAGAGCAAACCGGUCCAUGGCAUCGCUUGUCGAGGAACAAUUGAAAAAGAAAUCCCAAAGGCAACCAAAGCCACCAUGAAACAAACAACAAUCGAACUUCCCCCAAGAUAGGCAGGAACCUUCAACUGUGCACUGUUAGAAAACUGUACAUCACAACAAAGGCAUUUUUGAAUAAGAAUUAAGAAUCACCACAAGAUUAUCAGCAAACAUAUAGAAGUAGGGCUCAAGCAUAUAGGACUCCAGUGCAGAAACUGGAUAUUUCAAGAGGAUAACAAUCGUCUAAUAAAAAAUGAAAGAAUUUAACCUUGGAGCACCGAGAAGGAUAAAAUCACUUAAGGAAUAGUAACUAACUUGGUGGUUGGAAUUGAUGGUGGAUGAUGAAGAAACACCGGUAUAAGCAACCGAUCCAACAGAUCUAACUUUGAAGUAAAGGUGUCUGAUAUGAUCACCUAAAGAGGUUCUGCAAAAUGAGCCAAAGUGAUCCCGUGUCUGCAUCGAAAAUUACAUGAUUUAAUAACUGGAAAAGAAAAAACCCUUUAGUAUGCAAACACAAACAAUAUGCUUUAAGAUCCAAAUGACAAUUAUCUAUACUUGCUUAGCCUAGCAUGUCUGAGCAGCGAAAAAGACAGUCAGUACUAACCUGAAGAAAAGAAUGGUAGCAACAAAAGAGCAGAGCACAGAGUGGUAAUAGGAAAAGGACUUUGACUGCAAAUUCAUCUUUAGGAUUUGUGCCCCCUGCAGUUCCAGGAAGAGAUUCCUCAAGCUUUACUCUAAUGUCCUACAACAUCAAGAAAAAAAUGUGAAAUCUUAUAAUUGGACAAGAAUGCUUUGACUAACCACCCUCUAUCACAGGAGAAAUGAAUGUACAAUACACACAUAAAGAAAAGAAACGGAAAAAAAUAAAAAAUAAAAAGGAUCAAGUUACUCAGGGAAGAUGAAUCUCAGAAGAUUGCAUGCAUAAAUUUUAAGGAAUAGACAGUACCUGCCAGACAUCAACAGGUUUUAAUAGCCAAGAUGUCCACCAGUCCCAAGGCUUAAGGGGGCCAAGCGUAUAGUGAAUAACAUGUAGCUCACUCUCGUCUACCAUCCACUACAAAUACAAGGCAUAGAAAGAUAAGAACCUUCCACAAGAGUACAUGCAGAAAAUAAUGUAAAUAUACAGAAUGAAUUUGCAAAAUAUUUCUUGAUCUAUGCUCUAUUGGAUAUAACAGAAGGCAAUCACAACCUAGAAAAUGAAGAUAGUGAAAGCCUUCACAAUCUGAAAAUUGGAAACUUCAUUUGCAACAGAGAUCAGUGGGCUGAGUUAUCAUUUAAACAGGAAUUAUUUCAUUAUUUUGGUCCUCAAUUAUGGAUAACGUAAGUGUAUGUAGCUUUCCACAAAGACAAAAGUGUAGUCUUGCCAUCCUAAACCUUGCACCUUUACUUAUUAUUUAGAACCAAGACAUGCAGCAGAAGCACAUCUUGUUGAAGGAAACUACAAGAUGACAACUUGUCAACAUUUCUGAUAUUGCAAACUCUUAAAUUGCUUUUACAAAUGAAUAGGGAAGUCUGAGAGAAUAGAAUAAUUUGUUGGUGGCGUUAAAAAACUUCAAUUAUUGUCAAAAAAGAAAUUAUCUCAUUAAUUUUAAUCCUGGUACCUUAUUUGCGAGCAUAUAAAGACCAACAUCUGCAUUAUACAGGGUAGAUAGACGCUCCAUAUUGGGAACAGGUCUAGUAUUCACCACCUCCAAUGGUAAAUUUGGCUCAAAAACGUGUGCAUUGGGAAAGUCAGAGUAAUAUGAAUUUAAAAAACCCUGAUCUCCUGCAAAAUAAAAGAAAAAUCAGGAAGAAAGGCAGACACAUGCACACACAGAGGAUUGUUGAAUUUAAAAUUAUUUAAAACAUAAGCUAUCUUCCAGUUGUAGGAAGCAUGAUGAAGGGAAAUGCAAACUUUGAAUCUUCAGAUGGCAGUUGAAAUUCUGACUGCAAAAUUCUAAGCCUUUUUGUGAUCUACUUAAAAGAGAGCUAGUCAUCCUCAAAUAGCAAAGGGUAUUCAAAACUAACAUCAGUUUGUCAAGCAAGCAUAUUGACACAGGUAUGUUAUAAGACAAUCUAGGCAGCAAACUAUCUGGCACCAGCUCCAUUGAUGCUGUCACUACAUACGGUUGACUCAGAUUUUCCUUUAUUAUUAAUUGGAUUCGGACUUCAUGGUUUUCCAUACAUCACAAUUGAGUGCGGAAAUAACAGACACCAUAUUCUAACUACAGUUGAGCACAAUGAAUGCUUUACCUCCAGUGUAAGACCCCAACGUAUUCACUUUGGUCAUCAUGUCAUUGAAGACUGCAGCUGAUGGUUCCACCACCAUGACUCCUGAAUUUAGCCUCUCCGAAUGCUUCAAGUUAGCACAGAAUUUUCUACAUUUGAAAAGAUCCUCAAUGUUCUUGAUCACAAUAGUGUCCGCAUCAAGAUAUACAACUGCAUUAGACACAAGUCUUAUUUAUUCUGAGAGGAAGAGAGAGAACUAUCUAAUACACAAAUCGCUUAAGUUAUAAACCUCAAUUUUGCUGCUGAAUAAUUGUAAAUGCUGCAACUUGAUACUCAUUAUUAAAUUUAUCAAACAGACUUGUGAGCAAUCAAAUGCAUAAUAAAGACCAUAAGAACCUCUAUAAACAACAAUACCUUUCUUAUAGUUAGUCAUAUUGAAAAUCUUCAGCUUGGUGUAGACACCCCAAAACCUCUUUGGACGCACUUGAUUUGGAUUUGCCAAUAAGCUUAUCUUCUCCACUAUCCACCCAUCUGCCUGCACAAUUCUCAGCCACCAAACAAAUUAAAAAAAAAAAGGAAACAAAGAGUAUAAAAACAAAUUGAAAUGUUUCUCAUAACAAAUGUUUCAACUUUUAGCCGGCCAAAAGCUUUGCACAAACAUUCAAUGUUGUCACUCAUAACAAAACACCAUGAGAAACCCAAUAAAACUUUCAAAUGGGGAUAAAAGAAUACAAGAUUGCCACUAUCAAGAAAUUCAAUUAAUAGAAUUAUAAAAGAUAGAAAGAGGAGAAAAAUUAAAAAAGAAAAGAAAAGAAAAGCAACCAAAAGAAUUCCAAUAAAGUAAAGAAUGAACUCAAUAACUUUCCUUAAUAGCGUUGACUUUUUUUACAAAUUUAAAAAGUCAAACUUCCAAUCCAAUUCCAUACAAAAAGGGAAUAAGAUUAAACUUCCAAUUCAAUUCCCUGCAAAAAGCGAAAAACACUAAAUUCUUAUACGUGCUUGUUACCUUGAGAAGCUUUUUGGAGUAAUCAGAGACGCCAUCAGAGACCAAAACGACCAUGUCUUUAUUGGAUCCAGUAUCGCGUAUCGAUUUGCCCAAAACCCUAACUCCCAAUAGAAACUCAUCGCCGUACAAGAGCGUGACGUAAGCCUGGUCCGUCGAUUGCGAUCCAAUUGCAGCUCGAGAUUGAAUCGAAAGCAAUGCGAUGAGCACGAAAGUGAGAAGCUUCGGAAUCAAUUUCAUUUUAAAAAACGAUUUUCCCGAGAAAAUGAAUAAAAGUUUCUCGAGAAAUUAUCAAGAGACUGGGAUUGAUAUAUUUUAUUUAUUUUUUUAAAAAAUUCAAUUUAUAGAGUUGAAAAGCAUUUGAAGCUUUUGAAUUUUCUCUUUCUUGUUCAAACUUCGUUAGCGUUUUUGCAUUUUGACUACCUUUCGUUAGUCGCCGUUUUGAGUUUUGAUUCAAAUCUUUUGAAUCUCCUGCGGCCGGUUGUACCUAGAAACUAUGGGCCGAACCGCUAAAUGUUGACAAGUUAUCAAGACCGACUUAAUUAUAAAACUUAUAAAUAGAGGGUGAAAUAAAUAAAUUUACAUAGGAGUGAUAAACUAGUGUAUCAAUAGUAAAUAAAAUAAAAAUUUAUAACUAUAGUAUAAAACUUAUAAAUUAACAAUAAGUGUUAGAUAAAACAUAAAUUAAGUAAACGAAAAAUAAGACUUAUAAAUGAUAAGUAAAACAAGUAAAUAAACAUAGGAAUGAUAAAUUGGUGUAUUAUUAGUAAACAAAAUAAAAACUUAUGAAUGUAAUAUUAAACUUGCAUACAUUAAGUGUAAAAUAAAAUAUAAAUUAUACAAAUGAAAUAUAAUACUUGUAAAUGGAGAGUAAAAUAAGUAAAUUGACAUAGGAGUGGUAAAUUAGUGUAUUAUUGGUAAACAAAAUAAAAACUUUUUAAUGUAACAUAAAACUUGCAAAUCAACAAUAGAUGUAAAAUAAAAUAUAAUUUAUGUAAUUGGAACAUAAGACUUAUAAAUGGAAGGUAAAAGAAGUAAAUUAAUAUAAGAGUUGUAAAAUGGUGUAUUAUUUGUAAACAAAGCAAAAACUUACAUAUAUAACAUAAAAUUUGUAAUCAAUAUUAAUAAUAAAAUAAAACAUAAGACUUUUAAAUAGAAGGUAAAAAUAAGUAAAUUAACAUAAGAGUGGUAAAUUGGUGUAUCAUUGGUAAAUAAAACAAAAACUUAUAAAUAUAAUAUAAACUUGUAAAUCAACAAAAUAAGUGUAAAACAAAAUAUCAAUUCAUUAAAUAAAACAUAAGACUUGUAAAUGGAAGGUAAAAUAAGUAAAUUAACAUAGUAAUGAUAAAUUAGAGUAUUAUUGGUAAACAAAAUAAAAACUUAUAAAUGCAAUAUAAAGUUUGUAAAUCAUCAUUAGGUGUAAAAUAAAAUAUAAAUUAUGUAAAUAGAAUAUAAAACUUGUAAAUGGAAAGUAAAAUAAGUAAAUUAAUACAAGAAUUAUUAAAAAAAUAAAAACUUACAAAUAUAAAAUAAACACUCAUUAUAAUAAUGAUUACCUUAUAAAUUUUCUGAUAUCAUUUCUAAAUUGAAUAAUGAUAGUUUUGGGUUUAUAAAAAGCAUGUGAUGAUAUAUAUGAAGUUUUAUUAAGGAUAAAACUUAUUCUUAGAUAGAAAAAAUAAAAGGAAUUCAAGAACCAUACCUUUUUCUAAUGAGCAAAAUAAUUAAGUGUUGGAUCAUGUCAAUGGUUGGAAAGAAAUCACAAUUAGAAAUCUUCCGCUAAUCACAGUUUAAAUGCCCUAUUUAUUUAAUGAGUUUUCAAUGUUCUUAUUUGAUUUUGAUGAAGAAGAGAAUAAGAUAAAGAUUCUCUCGCCACACACUUUUUCUGCGUUAUUUUUCUUUUCCUGGAACUUAUUGCCAAAGUGGGAAGCUUAACUUCCAAACUACAAAGCAGUUACCAAGAACGGGUUGGGUUAGGUCGGCCCAUCAUGGGCGACCCACCCAUUUAACAUCUCUCACUCGCUCAUGAUGAAACGACGUUGAAGUAGCAAAACAAUGAAUAAAGAAGUAAUGAACAACCACAUAUCUUAAAUCAUAUAGGCAGAUAUACCAUGUGACCAUGAACAUAUCUAAGGACCCAUCCGGGGAGCCAAAAACAUAUCUCAAUUGCUAACUUAGGCAAGAGAUGUCUCAAUUGCAAUCGUAUGCAAGAGAAUUUCAAUAUAUGUUUAUUGUAUCCCAUAUUUAAUUUAUUUUAAUAUUCAAGCAUACUAAAUCUCUUCGAUAUGUCAAAUUGCGAAAUCUUUUUAUGUAUUCACAAUUAUAAUAUACCACAUGUAUUAUACAAUUAGUCGACUAUUGAAUCACAUAAAAGGAAAAAAAAUUAAAUCUUCUUAUCACACUCAUGUUCAUCAAUCCAGAAUAAUCGCUUUCCUAAUCAAGUUUUAUAGACCGAAUCAUGUUAAGGUUAUAGAUAACAUGAUAAAGUAGCAAACAUUAAUUUAGAUCUAAAAAAUAUAAUUGAUAGUUAUAAGGAUACCAGGGUCCACUUAUAGAAAGUCGUGUAGAACUUACACAAUGAGGAAGAAGAGAUAUUCUUUCAUUUUCUAUUUUGGUCACCAAGCACGCGUGGUAUGAUACACACGUUACAAUGAAUCUUCUAUUUUAGGGGGUAUGUCUCAUUAAUUCAAUUUACUGUACAGAUUUUAGUCCAGUAGCACUUCUACUACGUCUGACUUGAAUUCUUAAAAUGAACACUCUCAUUUAGCGCAAAAAAAAGAUCUCAUAUUUGGCUGCUAUCAGGUCUCUAUGAUGGUGGGUACAUCAUAUUAAUUUACGAGAAAUAUUGUUUAAGACCUUAUCUUGAUUCUAAUUAAGACAAUAAAAUUUGUAUAAUAACCUCUUUUAUUUGGCUCUUAAACAGACAUAUUGUUUCAUUAUUCUACUUGUCUCAUCUCAGCUUGCUCCUAGAGCAACUGAGGCGACUGCUCGUGUAAGAAAGUUGGUCAUGAUCUGAUGACAUAUUCUCAUAUUUGUGUAAUUAUGCCUUUCAAAAAAUAAAUUGAAAUAAGAGAACUUUGAAUAUCAUUACAUUUCAAAAUAAUUUAUGUAACAAAGACGUUCACAACAAAUAAAUACAUUUUAAAAGUAUAAAAUUACAAUAUAUAUAACCCUAAUGAUUUAUCAUGAGAGGUGAAUACAUCCCUUAUUAUAGCUUUGAUAAGUGGAUCAACUAUCAUGCUAUACGUAGAUGUAUAUUGUAUGGUUAUUUCAUUUUUUUGCCAAAAUGUCUCUUUAUGAAAUUGUAUUUAGUCUCAAUGUGUUUUGACUUGCUGUGGUAAUUGGCAUCUUUAGAGAAAGAGAUAGCAACUUGACUGUCACAGUAGAUAGUUACAGACUAACAUUAUUAGUAUUAAUUUUUAAGUCCUCUAUAAAUCUCUUAAAUCACACAACUUCUUGCAUUACUGUAGAACUUGUAAUAUACUCGACUUUCAUCGUCGAUAAAGCCGUGCAUGUUUACUUCUUAUUACUCCAUGUAAUUACUCAUCUGUUUAGCAAGAAUAUAUAUCCCGAGGUCAAUUUGUGCUCAUCCAGAUCGCCAUCCCAGUUGGCAUCUAAAUAUCUAACAAGUUGCAAACCACCUCCUUGAUAGCAUAAAAAAUAAUUUACAGUGCCUUUGAGAUGUGCCAAAAUCCUCUUGACAGCACCCCAGCACUUUUGACCAGGAUUAGACUGGUAUCUACUCCAGUCCUAUAGCAUACUUGAUAUCAGACUUUGUAUAUAUCAUAACGUACAUAAGACUUCCAAUGGCAUUUGCGUAAGGAACUCUAGUCAUUCUUUCCUUUUCUUCAGGAGUUUUAAGGCACAUAUUGAGACUAAAAGAUUGUCAUUUGGCUAUUGGAGUAUCCUUUUACUUACAACCAGCCAUGUUGAGUCUUUUAAGAAUCUUUUUAAUGUAAAACUCUUGUGAUAGAGCUAGAAGUUUCUUUGAACAAUCCCUGAAAAUUUUGACUCAUAAGAUAUAAUUUGCUUCGCCUAUAUCUUUCAUAUCAAAAUUUGAAUAUAACCAAUCUUUAAUAGUUUUGACAAACUCAUUGCUGUUUGCAACUAAUAGUAUAUCACCUAUAUACAAAGAUAAUAUCUUAAAAAUGUCUUUAGACCUCUUAAUGUACACACAAUGGUUUCUUCAACCAUCUUGAAGUCAUAAGAAACUACAGCUUGAUGGAAUUUAGGUUCUAUUGUAUAGAGGAUUGAUUAAGGCUAUAGAUAGAUCUUUUAAACUUGUAUACCUUGCGCUCUUGGCCUUUAACAAUAAAACCUUGUGGUUAUUGCAUAUAAAUUUCCUCCUCUAGUUCUCCAUUGAAAAAUACAGUUUUUAUAUCUAUUUAGUGUAACUCAAGGUCUAGAUGUGUAAUGAUAGCCCAAGUCAAUCGUAUAAAAGCAAACCUUACUACAGGAAAAAAUGUUUUUUCAUAGUCUAUACCUUCUUUUUGUGUAUAUCUUUUAGUGACUAAUCUUGCUUUAUAUCUCUUGAUUGUCUCAUCUACCUUACGUUUUAUUUAGAGAACCCAUUUGUUUCUGAAAGCUUUACAGUUAGACAGAAGAUCAAUCAAGUCCCAGACUUGAUUGACUUUUAUUGACUCCAUCUCCUCCUCCAUUACUUUCAUUUAUAAAUUCUUAGGAGACGAUGUAAAGGCUUUGCUAAAAGUAUUUAGCUCUUCACCAUCGUGUGAAGCAAUCAUAAAAGCUUCUCCUUCAAUCUCAAAAACGACGACGAGGAAUUAGCCUACGAUUACUCCUUCAAGUUGAUUCCUCAAUUGAAAUUGAAAUGUCUAGUGUUUCACUCCCACUAAAAGUAGCAAUACUUGAAGGAUUUGUACUAGUGCCAACACCGACAUUAAAAAUGAGAACCUCAUUUGGAUUUUCUAAUUCAUAAAAUUGAAAAUCUUUAUUAACUUUUCUAAUGUUAGGAAAUUCAUUUUCCAGAAAAUUGACAUCUCGUGAUUCUAAUUCAAUUACAUUUCCAUUUGUAUGUUCACCAACGAACACAUAUCCUUUGGAGUGUUCUGAGUAUCUAAUAAAGAUACACUUUGUACUCUUAGCUCUUAAUUUCCCAAACUUAUGGGUGGAGUUAUGAACAUAAGUCGCAGACCCCUAAGGCCACAGAUGAGAUAGGUUAGGUUUUUUACUCGUUCAUAACUAAUAUGAAGUGGAACUAACUGAUUUUGAAGGAACUCAAUUAAGUAUAUAGGCAGUAGUUCACACAGCAUCUUCCUAAUAGGAUAUUAGAAGAUAUGAUUGCACUAUCAUUGACCUAACCAUUUCCAACAAAGUUCUAUUCUUUCUUUCCAUUACAUCAUUUUUUUGCGGAGUUUCAGGAAUAAUCAACUGUCUAUCUAUUCUUUUUUUAUUACACAGUUCCUUGAACUGUUUCAAAAGGUAUUCACGUCCUCUGUCAAUUCUCAUAACUUUAAUAUUACUGUCUAAUUGAUUAUAUAACAUGUUUAGAUAUAAUUUAAGGUAAUUUAAUGCUUCUGAUUUAUGAGAGAUCAAGUAGACAUGACUGAAACGUGAAUAAUCAUCAAUGAAUAUGAUAAAAUAUGAAGCUCCAUGUCUAGCCAUUACAUUCAUUGGUCCACAGAUGUCAGAAUAAAUUAAUUGCAAUGAUUUUUCAGCUUUAAUUCCUUUGCCAAAUGGCUUUCUAGUUACUUUUCCAACUAGACAAUUUUCACUUAUUGGCAGUUCAACCUUGAUGAGUAGGCCCAACAAGCCAUCUCUUUCAAGUCUAUGCAUUCUUUCUUGUCUUAUGUGACCUAAUCUAGCAUGGCCAAUAAUUGCAUCUAUUUCAUUGUUACUGGAAGAAGUAACAUACAAAAAAUAAAUAUUAUCAUAACUUAAACCGUCAAGUAUCGUAUUUAACACAAUAAAACCAUUAAUCAAAUGCCUAGUUUCAAUAAGGAAUGAAUUUAAGAAAAUUUCCAAAAAAAUACCAUAAAAGUUUAAAUUAUAUCCUAAUUGAAGAAGAACAGAAACAAAAACCAAGUUUCGUCGAAUCUCUGGUGCAUAUAGGACAUUGUGUAAAAAAAGAAUACGUCCACCACGCAAAGUUAAUUUACAGGUGCCUAUUCAUUUUGCUUCAACUAUGGAGUUGUUGCCCACGUAUAUCCAUCUAGUCCCUUGUAAUUCGACGAUACACAAAUCCAUCUCGAUCACGAGUUUUAUAGUCCGUUGCUCGUCAGUCUACAAUCUACAUAGGACGAAAAUUAAUUAGGAGUACAGAACUCACAACCAAAGCAUAAUUCAAUAAAUUGGAGUUCGGUCUCACCUUUUUCGGCUCAGUGCACUCACAAGCGAAGUGACCCAUCUUGCUACAAUUGUAAUAUUUCAUCUUAGAUUUGCCCUUUUUCUUACCAACAAGUUUACCCUUUGGGUGCUUCUUAGCAUCUAGCUUCUUCUUACCAGGAUCAAAUCUUUUACCCUUUUGGUUGUACUUAUAGCCCCUCUUACGCUUGAAGCCUGAAGCCUUGCACAAGCUUGAUUCGGUCAUAUAAACACAAUCAGAAAGCUUAGCUGCCUCAAGGCGCUCUGCUUCCAGUUCAAAGUGAUGUUCAAUAUCAUUGAGUGUCUUGAUAUUCUCAUUAUGAGUCAUAUUCACUUUCACGUGUUCCCAAGAAUUAAGUUGAGAUUUUAUCACUACUUGGACUAAUUGUUCAUCAGUCAGAAUCUGUCAGCAGCCUUAAGUUUGCGAAUCAUAUUUGACAUCUCCUUCAAAUGUUGCCUCGUAGUAUGAUUCAGGCAUUGUCGAUGAGAAUCAAAAGUAAUCGUAAGCCUUCUGAGCUGGUCGAAGUGCCACCGAACUUGACUUUCAAAGCGAGCCACAUCUUUUGAGCAGUCUCAUACUUUUCAAGCUCACACAUGAGGUCAUCUUGCAUGUUGCUCAACAUCGUUAUUCGAGCAUUACUAUUCUUCUUUUUCCAGGCUUGGUAGGCUUCAAGAUCUCUCCUGUGUUAAGCAGUAGUGCCAUGCUCAAACUUAACUAGGGUGUUGUUUAGAGCUUUUAGAUUCUCUUGCUCUUCAAGAAUGUAUUGAAUCUUGCGGUGCCAAAUAUCAUAAAUGUCACUAUUUAGCUUCUCACUCUUGUUCAGCUCUACCACAAUGUUUUUAGAUGUAAGUGCCAUCUCAACUUUCUUUUAACACAAAGACAAUAAAAAAUACAAUCAAUAAAGGCAUAAUCAAUAAUUGCACACAAAUAAUUAAUUUUGUCUCAACUCGCAAACAUAAACAAAAAACUGUGAUAAAUUAAUUUUGGGAAUGGAAUCAAAAGGUCGUCGAAGUUUCCAAUCAUCAUUCAAUCCCCUUUAUUAUAUUCAUCAUUAAUUUAAUUUUAAUGCACAAAAUUAUUAGUUCCAAUUUUGAAUCAAUUAAAUUCAAUUUAGAUCUCCCACUCAACAGAAUUAUUCAUGAGAUAUAGUAAAAGAGCAUAUUGAGUUGAACAAUAACUAAUAUAGAAAUUCAUUAAUAAAAAUAUAGCAACAUAUUGUUCAAUCAAUAAAAUAAAACUAAUAUUAAAACAAUAACAGUCAACAAACAAAUGAAAUAACCUAAUAUGAUCAAUCUUAUACAUAGGAUCUUCUACAUGUUCUUAAAAUACUCUUUAUUGCUCGAGACUCUUUCAUCUAAUUUAUACUCAUGUGCACUCCAAAAAAAAUAAUAAUAAUUGUUCCUUCUUAAUGAUCCUAUUUAUGGUUUUCUUAUACUAUAAUUUCUGCCCUCUACCAAGGUGACUAGCUUCUCUUUUAUUCCGAAGGCUUGUGUGAAUGUUAAGUACUGAGGUUCGCUUCAUUUUUGAAGUAAGACGGUGCUCCUCCAUCAGCUCAAUUUCACCCCUUAGCAUAUAUUGGUAAAUUUUUACUCAAUUGCUAUAGAUGCCAAUGUGCAAGUGUACACAACAAGUAAUAAAGUGAUGAAUAUUCCAGAUCGUCUCCAUAUGGACUAAUGUUACUAGAAAUACUACAACAAUCAUAAUAGUGCGGUCUACCUUUAUUUUAAGAUGAACCUAGUUAAAGUUGAUUACUACCGAAAUUAACAAUUGUAAGAAAAUAAAACAAAUAAUUGUAGUAAUGAAAUAGAUUAGAUAAGUUGCGUAAAAGAAUCAAAUGAGAAUGUAGUAGCUGAAUGAUCAAACUCUCUUCAUGGGUUGACUACUUUUCAUUAAAUUAACACCAGUUGCUACAACAAUUCCUACAGCAUUGGGCAGAAUUAUUUUGCAUCCUCAACUUUCGCGUGUUGGAUUUCUCAUACCCUUAAGUACCCUAACAAUGACCAGUUACUAUUCUACAUAAGGUAUGACAUUAUAAACAUCUGCUCUUUCUACCCUACAAGGUGAAUUCCUAUGUCUAAUUCUUCACAAAUCUUAACUUCAAGUAUGGCCCUUUUGGGACUCAAGAAAAACUUAAUCCAGAAAACUUAAAUUAAAAUCAAGUAUUACUCUAAUAAUAUCUACUAAGACAUGUCAUUUUGCGGCUCUAUCUUAACUUGAACCAUUAAAUGGGUGGUCAACCGAAAUAACGAUUAUAAUAAUAGCUACUAGAGUAAAAUGCUACAGCAAUUAUAUAACAACUUAUAAACCCAUUUAGAUUGUUUGUCGCUCAACUACAAUAAAAUUUAGUUCAUACUUUGAAAAAGAAAAAUAAACAGCAAACUAUUGAUCAUGAAAUACAUCGGUUCAAUCAAAGAGUAAGGGAGGGAACAUGUAAAGAACGAUGACAAAUUAAAUCCAAGUAAUUUUGCUGAAUUCUUUACUGGUGCAGACUUGUUUCCCUUAAAUUCUGAUUCUCUCUUUAUUUUCCUCUCGAUCUCUCCAAUGUUAAUUUUUUCUGCUGUUUUUCAUGUGAUGCACACUCUUUUUAUAACUGAAAACUAGGGUAAACAGAAGUUUAGAGCACGCAUGAGUCAAAUUAGGAAACUGCAGAUCACAAUUCUGCAGAUAUCCCGCGCUAAGUUUUCUCUAUAGUUGUUCUAGGAUUGCUACAGCAAUGGUUGCUCCAGCAACAACUAAAGCACUGUACUGCUCCAGAUUUUGUUUCACUUCUUUUGUGACCAUAUUUUUCCUCCUUUUUGUUAGCCUAUUGCAUCAGCAUCCCUUCCAUGAAUUAUAAGCUUCUAGAAACCUACAAUUAUGCACAUGAUUUGAGCACGAAUUACUUUAAAUCAAGCAAAACUUAUUAAGACUAAACUAAAAUGAAUGUUUAUGCAAAAUGUAACAAAAAUGCAAUAAAAACACAUCAUUUACUCUCUAAGUGAUCUUGAUUUAAAUCUAAAAUUGCCAUAAUAACUCUCAUUUCAUAGAGUUAUCACACUCCCAAACUUAAACUAUUACUUGUUCUCAAGUAAUGACAACAACAUUCAUUCUUCAAUCACACAAUCAUGCAACAAAUAACUUAGUUCUGUCAUCAAAUUUGCAAGGAUUCUUCCACCCUCAGAUCACACUUUUAAUCAUGCAAAAUAGCCAUAGCAGUUCAGUUCUAGACUUAGGCUUCCUUCUGUCCAAAGUGUGUGUGUGCUACUUUGAUCAAGAUCCAGAGGUGCUACAACAUUACAAAGAUAUUGCAUAUAAUUCAUAGGUAGAACACAAAUAUAUUCGCAUAUGGGGCAGCAGAAUCACAUAUACUCAAAUUGUGGUAUAACAAAAACAAAAAUUAAGUUUUUUUUAAGAACAUAAGAACACUUAACCCUCUUCAUUGCAACAUUUAAUUUUCAUGUGAAUGUCGAUUACUUGUAAUGAUAACACUCAAUUACUCAAUCAAUGCACAGAUCAGAGUUGUAGUAAUAUUCGUAGUAUAGUCUUAUUUAAAGAUAUCUUUUAACUCAAGGCUGAACAUAGGGCUCAUGAACAGACCUGACUACUCAAUAUCCUAGAUAGAGGGCCUUUCUUUUUUUGUUUUUGUUUUAAAUGCUACAGCAAUGCUCGUAACUCUUAUUGCUUUUGGACUCAAGUCUGCAUGUGGAGUACAUAGUCAGCCCUAGUUACUCAGCAACUUGAGCCAUUGGAGCCAAAUUUAUUUCAUAAUGAGCACAGUUUAACCAAAAUUUUUCCCCCAACUUGAGAUAUUCUACUCCUUUUUGUUUUCUUGGCUUUGCCACAACAUCCUCAUAAAACCCAGUCAAAGUCUAAGUGUCAGGACAUAAUUUCAACCUCCAUCUAUAACUAUCUCUACUUGGCAUUCUCAUAAAUACUAAAUAACACUUAAUUUAUCUUCAUUAGGUUUUCAAAUCUACACACAAAUAUUAGAUAACAGAGCUUCACACAACACAAGCAUAAACACACACACUCAGAAACACCCCCCAAACUUGAGUGGUGAUGCGUCUUUACAAGCACACAAAACAAAACCACAUAACCAGGCAUGCAUACACUAAAUAAAAGGACAAGUAGAAUGAAUCAAAAAAUGAAAACUUGGUGAAAGAAAAUUUUUUCAGAAAUAAAUAAAAUAACUAGCAGGAAGGGGGGUACUCCUUUAUUGCUUGGGCACUGCUGCAACAUGGUGUAGUGACCUCAACACUUUUUGGAUGCACUUCACAGCCUAUCCUUAGGGGAUUCUUGUGGUGAGGCAACUGUCAAUGUCUUUUUUCUUUUUCUACAAUGGGCUGGUGGAAGGGGUGGCAGUUUAUCUAUCACUUCUAUCUUUGCUUUAUCUAUCUCUAUGCCAUUCUUGGACACCUUAUGACCCAACACUAUACCUUCUUGCACCAUAAAGUGACAUUUUUCUCAAUUGAGUACUAAGUUAAUCAUCUAACAUCUUUUAAGAACUUCUUCCAAGUUGUGUAAACAAUCAGUAUAUGUCUCUCCAAAGACUAAGAAAUCAUCCAUGAAGACUUCCAAUGUUUGCUCCACCAUAUCCGAAAAAAUAAACAUCAUACAUUUUUGAAAAGUUGUUGGAGCAUUGUACAAACCAAAAGGCAUUCUUCUUAAGGCAAAAGUUCCGUAAGGACAUGUAAAUGUAGUCUUUUCCUAAUCCUUUGGGGUUAUAACAAUUUUGUUGUAGCCUGAAUACCCAUCUACGAAACAAUAAUAUUGUUUUCCAGCAAGUCUGUCUAAUAUUUUAUCUAUAAAUAGAAGUGGGAAGUGAUCCUUCCGAGUGGUUUUGUUGAGCUUCCUGUAAUUCAUAUAUACCCUCCAUCCAGUCACUGUUCUUGUAGGAAUAAGUUCAUUCUUUUCAUUUGCUAUCACUGUUAUUCAUUCCUUCUUUGGAACACAUUGAACUGGGUUCACCCAUGAACUGUCUGAUAUCGGGUAUAUGAUCCCAGCAUCCAACAAUUUGAUGAUUUCUUUUUUUACAACUUCCUUUAUAAUGGGGUUUAACCUUCUAUGUUGCUCUAUUGAGUUGCUGUAGCAGUCUUCUAAUAGAAUUUUAUACAUGCAUAUGGAUAAGUUGAUCUCUUUAAUGUCUGCCAUGGUCCAUCCAAUUGCUUUUCUAUAUUUCCCAAGCACAUCUACCAGGCUCCGUUCUUGACCUGCAUCCAAAGUAAAUGAAAUGAUUAUAAGGAGUGUGUUGUUUUGACCAAGAUAAGUAUAUUUUAAAUGUGAGGGUAAUAAUUUUAAUUCAAGAGUAUAAGGUGAUUCAAUAGAUGGUAAAGUUAUCUUUACUUCCCCAUCUGAAAGAUUUAGAAGUUCAACAAAUCUACCAUGUCUGUUAGAUUGCCUUCUGUUGAGUGUUAGAAAAUGCAUAUUUAUAAAAGAGAAAAUCGUCAUUUUACAUUUCAAGCUUUACUAACAACCCUUAAUUUUAUGUAUUUAAGCUUCUUGUAAUUUAAUUAUGUGUAUUUUAUUUUAAUUAAGUAUUUUAUGUAUUUUAGGGGCAUCAUAGUCAUUUCACAAUGAACGAGAGAUCAGACGGCAAAACGGACAUCACUUUUGAACUCAGGACGGUCGAAAACCUUAGGAGGAGCAUAAAAUAUAGUCAUUUCACAAUGAACGAGAGAUUAGACGGUAAAACGGACAUCACUUUUGAACUCAGGAUGGUCGAAAACCUUAGGAGGAGCAUAAAAGGAAAAAUGGCAUUGUUCACAUGUACGGUAUUAUUCACAUGUACGGUACUGUCUACGUUACUGUUCACGACACUAUUCACAUAGACGGAUUGAUGAUGUGGCAUUGACUGAUGAGGUGUCACGAUCAUGUUGGACCAAAAUUCUUAUGCACUGUUGAUCGAUGACGUGGCAGCAUAUCAGUGGACCAAAAAUCUGGCGUACGGUACAUGCAUUACACAGGAUUAUUUUCAACCAAACCGCGUCACUGUUCAACCGGGGUCAAACCGUGUUACUGUUCACCCGCGUGGUCAAACCGCAUACUGUUGACUGAUGACGUGGCGCAAUCUUGAGCGUCCAAACUAUUUUUAAUCCGAUGGCCACGAUUUACUCAAUGUAUCUAUAAAAGGGGGGCCUUCCCCGCCUAAUUUGAUAGCUCUAAAUCUAUUUUUGGGCUCAAUUUUCUGUAAUUCCUUCUCCAUCUUGUAUUUUCUACAUAUUUUAAUAAAUUUCCAUUUUGCCCCUAGUUCAAUUAUGAGUAGUUAAUUUUCUUUCAAACUUGGGUUGAAGGUGAAGUCUCAACAUGUAUCAUGGGCUUUAUUUUGUAAAUUUAUUUUCUCUUUCCCUCUAAUUUUUGUGGAUGUUUUGAAUUCUCAUCGACAAAUAAUAAUAAUCUUGUUUAGUACCGCCUUGGUUUCACCAGCUCCCUAAUACAAGGUUAUUAUUAUUUGGCACGAUAAGCCCUUAGCACAAUAUUGAUUAGAGUGUGGUUCGUGAGGUGUGGAUUCCCUCCUCAUGAUUUAAUUGGCAUUAAUAAGGAAUAUUUAGCCCAUGAUGCAUGUUGAUACGGAUCCAAAUACCCAAGUGUUUUAAUUUAAUAGAUUUUCACUUCAAUUUAUUCUUGCCAUUUUAAUUCGAAUUUUAGGAUAAUCCAAAUCAUUUUCACCACAAAUCCAACCACCCAUUUAGAAAAUUAAUUCUACACAUAAUUAAAAUCCACCUCCUUGUAGGAGUUUUUGGCGCCGUUGCCGGAGGAGGUAAGUAAUUUUAAUUCAUAGAAUUAUUUUUGUGAAUAAUUCCAUUUAAAUCGUUUUCUUGUAUUUUUAAAAAAAAGAAAAAAGAAAAAAAGUGAAUCUACAUUUAAAGGUUAGUAUUUCUUUUAUUUUUCUCUUCUUUAAAAUUAUGUAAUUUAAUUUUCAAUUUAUUUUUCUUUGUAUUUUUUUAUCUUAUUAAUUUAUUUUUAGUUAAUUUAUUUCACAUAUUUAUUUUUGUGUAUUUUUAUAUUAAGGUUGUAAUAGCGUGAUAAGGUUAGUAACGUAAUUUCUCAUUCUUCUUUAUUUUUAUUUGUUUUGUUCCCAUUUAUUUUUGUGUUUCUUGCAUGCAUGGUCGUAAGUUAUUAUUACCUAAUAACUAGAAAAAAAUACUUCGCACACACAAGCACGUUAAAAAUAAAUUUAGAAUGGAUUUAUAAGCACCACAGAAGAGACCAUUUAAGGACUAUUUUAAUCCCUUAGCUACUUUGAGCACAUCAUGUAUAAGAUAUCCAAAUGUAGCUGCUAGGAGUUUUGAACUAAAACCUAGUGUGCUAAAUUGUCUCCCCACAUUCUAUGGCUUAGAAAAUGAGGACCCAUAUAAUCAUUUGAAUGAUUUUCAUGUUAUUUGUCAAACAUUUAGAUAUGAGAAUUUUUCAGAUUAUGGUGUUAAACUUAGAUUAUUCUCAUUUUCUUUAAAGGAUAGAGCUCGUUCAUGGCUCAAUACAUUGUUUGCUAAUAGCAUUACAUCAUGGGAACAAAUAGUUACAAAAUUUUUAAAUAAAUAUUUCUCAGUGCAUAAAACCAAUGCUAUUCGCAGGGAGAUUUCAGAGUUUACCCAAAGAGAAGACGAGCAGUUUUUCGAAACAUGGGAGCGAUUUAAUGGGUUAUUCUUGAAGUGUCCACAUCAUGGGUACGAGAAAUGGCACCAAUGCCAAUACUUUUUGGAGGGAUUAUUGCCAAAUGUGCAAGAAUGACUAAUGGCAACAAGUGGAGGAGAGCUAAUGUCAAAAAGUAGAGGAGAGCUAAUGUCAAAAAGUGCAACAGAGAUUUGUGAAUUCUUCCAGGGACAAGCGGAUAAUUCCCAACAACGAAGUCGAUCACUCAGAAAUACUAGAAGAAUUAAGGGAGUAAAUAAGGUUCACAUUAGCGAGUCAAGUUCAGAAAUCAAAGAAGUCAAGGAGAUGGUUGAAGGUCUCGCUCGACAAAUAGCAUCGUUAUCGACUGCUAAAUCAACAGAGCCACAUGACCAUGACUUAUACUCAGAUCAAGUCAAUGCCAUAGGUGUAAUGAGAAAACCAUCAAAUUACAACCCAUACUCCAACAUAUAUAACCUUGGAUGGAGAGACCACCCCAAUUUUUCAUGGUCUCAAGGAUUCCAACAGAAUGGACCAGCAGCUCCAGCUCCACCAAUGCAACCAAUUCCUGAAAUUCCUCAAGCCUCUCAGCCACCAUUUAGACCAUACAAUCAGAACCAUAACUACUCUAAACUCAGACUAUGGGAGGAUGCAUUUCAGAAUUUCAAGAAUGUUAUUCACUCUACGAUUGAGCAACAGAACCACACCAUUGAUGGACUACGAAAUGAGUUGAGAGCAGGCUUCAACUCACAAGCCCAAUCAAUUUCAAGCCUCGAGAAGAUGGUGGGACAACUUGCUUCUUCAGUUUAGACCUUGACAAUGACUGUUGAGAAAGGUAAGUUUCCAAGUCAACCAGUGCCUAAUCCUAAAGGAGUGCAUGAAGCAAGUACCAGUUCACCACAGCAGUAUGGAGAGGUCAAAGCAGUCAUGACCUUGCAAAAAGAAAAAGAAGUCGACAACAAAGUGGAGAUGCCGGUGACAAAAGAAAAUCAAAUUGUACCUGUGAAUAUUGAGGACUCACCAUCGGAGGAGAAAAAAGAAACCAACCCACGAGAAUACAUUCCGAAAGCUCAAUUUCCUCAGAGGUUAGCUAAAGGAAAGAAGGAAAAAUCCACAGAUGAGAUUCUUGAAAUCUUCAAACAGGUAAGUGUUAACAUCCCUUUACUUGAUGCUAUAAAAUAAGUUCCAUCUUAUGCCAAGUUUCUUAAAGACCUUUGUACUAAAAAGAGAAACAUUUACGUUCAAAAGAAGACAUUUUUAACAGAAAACGUUAGUUCUAUAUUCCAACACAAAAUUCCUUUAAAAUGCAAAGACCUAGGCUCCCCCACUAUCUCAUGUAGUAUAGGGAACCACACAAUUGAGAAUGCUUUGUUGGAUUUAGAAGCUAGUGUAAAUAUGUUACCUUAUUCAGUAUUUGUGAAACUUGGACUUGGAGAAUUACACCCAACUCCGGUGGUGUUACAGCUUGCAGAUCGAUCCACAAAAAUACCUCGCGGUAUUGUGGAGGACGUGCUUAUCCAAGUAGACAAGUUUUAUUUUCCUAUUGAUUUCAUUGUAAUUGACACUCAACCAAUACAGAAUUCAAGGAAGCACAUCCCCAUUAUUCUAGGCCGACCUUUCUUGGCAACUGCGGAUGCUCACAUUCAAUGCAAGACUGGAAAUAUGCAGUUGUCCUUCGGCAACAUGACUAUGGAGCUGAACAUUUUCAACAUUGCCAAACAACCUCACAAUUCAAAUGAUGGAAUUGUUGAUGUGGAUUUAAUAGAAACAAUAGUUGAUAAUACUUUUCUUUCAAACCUCAGUGAUGAUCCUUUACAAACAUGUUUAACUCAUUUUGGUUUGGAUUUUGAUAUUGACAGAUCGGUCGAUGAGGUCAACGCCCUACUUGACUCAGCACCAUCCAUGGACACUAAUAAAUAGAAGUCAAUAGUUGAACAACUAGUACCAUCAGAAAAGAAACUCAUCCCAUCAUCAGAAUCACUACUGAAACUCGAGCUCAAACCAUUACCCAACACUUUGGAAUAUGCAUUUUUGGGAGAAGCAAGUACUCUACCGGUAAUCAUCUCAUCAUCCCUUAAUGACGAACAAAAAGGUAAGUUGUUGGAUGUUUUAAAAGAGCACAAAGGAGCAUUAGGAUGGACCAUAGCAGACAUAAAAUGUAUAAACCCAGUAGACUGCAUGCAUUACAUUCACCUUGAUGAAAAUUCUAAAUCUACUAGGGAAAUGCAACGUCGGUUAAAUCCUAAUAUGAAAGAAGUUGUUAGAACUGAAGUCCUUAAGCUAGUAGACGCAUGUAUCAUUUACCCAAUUUCUGAUAGUUCAUGGGUCAGUCCUGUACAAGUUGUCCCUAAAAAAUCAGGAGUCACAAUGGUUACCAAUGCCGAUAAUGAAUUGAUACCAACUAGAGUAACUACAUGAUGGCAUGUAUGCAUUGAUUAUAGAAAGUUAAAUUCUGUCACACGUAAAGAUCAUUUUCUUUUACCAUUUAUCGAUCAAAUGCUUGAUAGAUUAGCAGGUCAUGAAUUUUAUUGCUUUCUAGAUGGCUACUCAGGAUACAAUCAGAUCCCCAUAGCACCAAAAGAUCAAGAGAAUACUACUUUCACUUGCCCUUUUGAUAUUUUUACAUAUAGGAGGAUGCCAUUUGGAUUAUGUAAUGCACCUGCUACAUUUCAACGAUGCAUGUUGAGCAUUUUUUCUGAUAUGGUUGAACGAUUUCUUGAAGUCUUUAUGGAUGAUUUUUCUGUCUUUGGUGACUCGUUUGAUCAAUGUUUGCAUCAUCUAACACUAGUUCUGCAGAGAUGUAUCGAGAAGAACUUAGUCUUAAAUUGGGAGAAGUGUCAUUUUAUGGUAAAACAAUGUAUUGUUCUCGGUUACAUCAUUUCGAGGAAAGGUAUUGAGGUUGACAAAGCCAAGGCGGAUCUCAUUUCUAAUCUUCCUCCACCCAAAACAAUCAGAGAAGUAAGAUAUUUCCUUGGGCAUGCUGAUUUUUAUAGACGUUUCAUUAAAGAUUUUAGUAAAGUUUCUAGACCCUUAUGCAAUCUACUUGCUAAGGAUGUACCUUUUGUCUUUGAUGAUUCAUAUCUUGUGGCAUUUGAAAAAUUAAAGCAGUUGUUGACAUCAUCACCCAUCAUUCAGCCCCCAAACUGGAGCUUACCAUUUGAACUCAUGUGUGAUGCAUCUGAUAAUGCAGUAAGAGCAGUAUUAGGAAAAAGAGUUGAUCGAAUUCCCCAUGUUAUUUAUUAUGCUAGUGUGACAUUAAAUGAUGCACAGUUGAACUAUUUAACUACUGAAAAAGAAAUACUAGCAGUAGUGUUUGCAUUGGAAAAUUUUCAAUUUUAUCUCAUUGGUUGUAAAAUAACUGUACUCACAGAUCAUGUUGCUCUUAAACAUAUUCUCAUGAAGAAAUAUGCAAAAACUAGACUAAUUCGUUGGGUAUUACUUUUGCAGGAAUUUGACUUGGAAUUUAAAGAUAAGAAAGGCAUAGAAAAUGUUGUGGCAGACAAUCUCUCUCGCCUCUACUUUGACACAAUUAUGGAAUCAUUACCAUUGAAUGAGUCAUUCCCAAAUGAACAAUUGAUGAGUGUGGAAGUAUUACCAUGGUAUGCUGAUAUCGUUAAUUAUCUUGUUACAAGUCAACUUCCAGAGCAUUGGACCAAGCAAGACAAUGCUAAAUUCUUUGCAGAAAUAAAGAAUUUUUUUUUGGAUGACCCGUAUUUGUUCAAGUAUUGUGCAGAUCAAAUUGUUAGAUGAUGUGUCCCAGAAAAUGAAAUUCAGAAUAUCCUUUUAUUCUGCCAUGAACAAGCUUGUGGAGGCCAUUUUAGUGCUAAGAAAACAACAACUAAAGUUUUACAACGUGAUUUCUAUUGGCCAACUAUAUUUCGAUACGCUUAUUCAUGUGAUAGGUGUCAACGAAUGAGGAGCAUUACACGGAGGAACAUGAUGCCACUAAAUCCAAUUUUAGUAGUUGAGAUUUUUGACGUAUGGGGUAUCGACUUCAUGGGACCCUUUCCCCCUUCUUUUGGCCAUCAAUACAUAUUGGUUGUUAUUGACUACAUAUCGAAAUUGGUAGAAACAAUUCCAUGUAGAACCAAUGAUCAUAAGGUGGUGAUAGAAUUUUUGAAAAUCAACAUUGUUUCACACUUUGGAUUCCCUCGAACAAUAAUCAGUGAUGGUCAUGCCCACUUUUGUAAUAAAGCAUUCAAGGCUCUUUUGACGAAGUAUUCAAUCACUCACAAAGUGGCAACCCCAUAUCAUCCGCAAACCAGUGGCCAAGUUGAGAUCUCCAAUCAAGAAAUAAAGCACAUAUUACAAAAGACGGUGAUGCCGGACAGAAAAGAUUGGUCAUUAAGACUUGAUGAUGCAUUAUGGGCAUAUAGAACGGCUUUCAAAACCCCGAUUAGGAUGUCACCCUACAGGCUAGUGUAUGGAAAAACUUGCCACCUACCUGUGGAACUCGAGCAUCGUGCAUAUUAAGCUAUCAAGAAAUUCAACUUUGACAUGCAGCAAGCCAGCUCAGAAAGAAGAUUACAACUGGCAGAACUUGAAGAAAUUCACAAUAACGCAAAGGAAAAUGCCAAGAUUUACAAGCAACGAAUGAAAGUCUUUCAUGACAAGCAAAUUAUGAGAAAAUCUUUCACUCUAGGUCAGAAAGUGCUUUUAUUUAAUUCUCGCUUGCACCUAUUCCCAGGUAAGUUGCGCUCUCGUUGGUCUGACCCAUUUAUUGUUCAUACUGUUUUUCCACAUGGGGAAAUUGAAAUUAAGGACCCAAAGAACGGUGUUACGUUUAAAGUUAAUGGUCAAAAAGUCAUAUCUAGAGUACCAACUACAUGGAGAAUACACCGAAAUAAAUUUGAAUGACCCACCAGAUUUGAAUUGAUUUUUUUUCUUUCUUUUUAUUAUUCUUUUGCUAAUUGAAAUUAUUUUUACAUAAGUGUGUUUAUUUAACCAUUAAGUUUUUUUUGUUAAUCAUGAGUACCAUACUUAAAUCGUUCCUCCUGAACAUUCUUAAACCACUUCAACGUGUAAAAUCUCAUCUCAAAAGGCAGAUUCGAUUUUGUAAGACACAUCGUAUUUGGGCUCUGCAACCACCAGAGUUAGUAUCAUAUGUUGAGGGUUUAGAAAGCCAACUUAGAGACAUUGAGAUAAGUGUUUAUGACAUCCAGUUGGAGCUUGAGGUAAAUUCAAUAAGAGGACGAUUUUAAUUUUCUUUGUGUGUUUUAAUUUAUUUUUCUGUUUGUGUGCUUUAGUUUGUUACCCCGGUGAAGUGGCGGAUAACGGUACUCCGUGACAAUCAAGUCGGUUACUUCAGUUUUCCAUAAUAACUGAUAUUCUGAGGCGAAGGUAUGGACAUAAAUGAGAUUAUAGCAAAACUUCACAAUCGAUUCCCUUCACUUCCUCAGAAUGCCGUCCUUACAAUCUAUAAAGCUCGGUCCGAACGCAUGCGAUUACUCAUGAGGAAUAACAUAUCUGCUGACAUCCGUUGGUUAAUCGAAGCUAAAGUACGAUUGACAGUGGAUAUGUGCAAGGAGCGAUUCUCUAGUUAUGACCAUUAUUCCAGAAAGAGCAUGCACGAUAUAGUCUCGGGAACCUGAUUAUAAACUACCAUGUUUGCCAGUUUAUAAGAAAACUGGAUGGGAAGCCUAUCCUCGAACCAUAGAGGGCGUUCAAGCCAUUUUUGGACGUAAAACCAGAAGAAGAUGUGAGCUACAGUCGCAACUACUUGUAAAUAUCCUUUUACUUCACUGUUAUUUUAUUUAACUGUUGUUUUAUUAUUUGCAUUAUUGUCUUUAAUAAUUUUAUUUUAUCAUUGUUUCUUUUUCUUUUUACUGUUUCCUUUUUGACUCGCUAGCCAUGUGCUUUACGCGUUAUUUGACACUGACAUGCCACCUCAUCCACUGUCACCAAGAUUCUUAAAUAAGACUUUUUGUUAAGCACUCACAAAUUAUUUUUGAGAAAUAUUCCAAUGGCAGCUACUCCCAAUAGACAAUUCAAGAACAUUUGUGUGCUUUCUAGAUUUAACUAUGGCAAACAUAAAGAGUUCGUUGAGGCAGCCGUAGAUCUUGGUCGAAGUAUAGCAGAGAGAAAAUUACACUUGGUGUAUGGAGGAGGUAACCGAGGGUUAUUAAAAUUGGACUCAGAAACUGCUUUUAUCAGAGGGAGCCAAGUCUUAGGCAUCAUCUCAAGAGCCCUAAAACCUUUGGGCAGUUUGUCUGACUCACCGACUGGAGAAGAGUUAGUCGUCUCAGGUAUGCAAGAAAGAAUAACUGAAAUGCUUAAUCAUGCUGAUGCUUUUAUUUUCCUUCCAGGAGAUCUUGCACCACUAGAGGCAUUUAUCACACUAGUAUCUUGGGCCCAUCUACACAUUCACCAGAAACUCAUCGGUUUGUUAAAUGUCAAUAAUUUUUAUGAUGGCUUUAUCGCAUUUCUUAACCAUCCAAUGAAAAACUAUUUCGUUCCUUCCAAUGCCAAAAAGUUUUUUAUUUGUGCUCACACUGCUAAUGAGCUACUUGAUCUGUUACAAGCUUAUAGACCGGAGCCAGACCCCUGGACCUUUGUGUUGGAGCAUCCAAAUAAUGAUAGUCACAAUAGCCGCAGUAAGAAGUACAAAUUAGAUUUAACUCUUCGCUUGUAAAUAUUUUCUUCUGUGUUGCACCACCCAGGUGAUGUUUUCUAAACUCUAUUUAUUUCCUUUCAAACAUUGAGGACAAUGUUUCGUUCUAGUUGGGGGGAGGGAAUGGUUGACAAUUGUGGAAUCUUGGUUAAGUUUUUACUGAUUUUUUUUGUUAUAUAAACUAACUGUUACUAACUUUUUGUGUUGAAGAUGGCUGAAUAUGGAGCGUAGUGACUCUAGAAACGCAUCUUCAUCGUUUGAAAAAAAA